rnacentral:lncRNA from 1 species
GUUUUAGAAGCAGGCAACAGGAACAAGAUGUGAACUGUUUCUCUUCUGCAGAAAAAGAGGCUCUUCCUCCUCCUCCCGACGGUAAAUGUUCUGAAAAAGACUCUGCAUGGGAAUGGCUUGCCUUACAAUGACAGAAAUGGAGGGAACAUCCACAUCUUCUAUAAAUCAGAAUGGUGAUAUUUCUGGAAAUGUCAGUUCUAUGAAGCAAAUAGAUCCGGUCCUUCAGGUGUAUCUUUACCAUUCCCUUGGGAAAGCUGAGGCAGAUUAUCUGACAUUUCCAUCUGGGGAAUAUGUUGCAGAAGAAAUCUGUAUUGCUGCUUCUAAAGCUUGUGGCAUCACACCUUUGUAUCAUAAUAUGUUUGCUUUAAUGAGUGAAACAGAAAGGAUCUGGUAUCCACCCAAUCAUGUCUUCCACGUAGAUGAAUCAACCAGGGAUAAUGUACUCUACAGAAUAAGAUUUUACUUUCCUCAUUGGUAUUGCAGCGGCAACAACAGAACCUAUCGACAUGGAAUAUCUCGAGGUGCUGAAGCUCCUCUUCUUGAUGAUUUUGUCAUGUCUUACCUUUUUUCUCAGUGGCGGCAUGAUUUUGUGCAUGGAUGGAUAAAAGUACCUGUGACUCAUGAAACUCAGGAAGAAUGUCUUGGGAUGGCAGUGUUAGAUAUGAUGAGAAUAGCUAAAGAAAAGGAUCAAACUCCACUGGCCAUCUAUAAUUCUAUCAGCUACAAGACAUUCUUACCAAAAUGUAUUCGAGCAAAGAUCCAAGAUUAUCACAUUUUGACAAGGAAGCGAAUAAGGUACAGAUUUCGCAGAUUUAUUCAGCAGUUCAGCCAAUGCAAAGCCACUGCAAGAAACUUGAAACUUAAGUAUCUUAUAAAUCUGGAAACACUGCAGUCUGCCUUCUACACAGAGAAAUUUGAAGUAAAAGAACCUGGAAGUGGUCCUUCAGGAUUUACAGUUGUAUUGUGAUUUCCCUAAUAUUAUUGAUGUCAGUAUUAAGCAAGCAAACCAAGAGGGUUCAAAUGAAAGCAGAGUUGUGACUAUCCAUAAGCAAGAUGGUAAAAAUCUGGUAAGUUUGCUUUAUGAUUGAUUAAUGGUUU